rnacentral:rRNA from 1 species
CUGGCGGCGUGCCUAAUACAUGCAAGUCGAACGGCUUUUCAUGGAAGCUUGCUUCCACUGAGAAGAUAGUGGGCGAACGGGUGAGUAACACGUGGGGUAACCUGCCCCAUAAGAGGGGGGAUAACAUCCGGAAACGGGUGCUAAUACCGCAUAGUUUUCUUGGUCGCAUGAUCGGGAAAGGAAAGACGGCCUUUGUGCUGUCGCUUAUGGAUGGACCCGCGGCGUAUUAGUUAGUUGGUGAGGUAACGGCUCACCAAGACGAUGAUACGUAGCCGACCUGAGAGGGUGAUCGGCCACAUUGGGACUGAGACACGGCCCAAACUCCUACGGGAGGCAGCAGUAGGGAAUCUUCCGCAAUGGACGAAAGUCUGACGGAGCAACGCCGCGUGAGUGAAGAAAAGGUUUUCGGAUCGUAAAACUCUGUUGUCAGAGAAGAACAAGUUGGAGAGUAACUGCUCCAGCCUUGACGGUAUCUGACCAGAAAGCUACGGCUAACUACGUGCCAGCCGCAGC